CCUGGUUGAUCCUGCCAGUAGUCAUAUGCUUGUCUCAAAGAUUAAGCCAUGCAUGUGUAAGUACAGGCCGACUUAAGGCGAAACCGCGGACGGCUCAUUAAAUCAGAUAUAACUCAUUGGAUCUCUGCUGAACCGCAUUACUUGGAUAACUGUGGUAAUUCUAGAGCUAAUACAUGCCUUUGUAGUCUCCGACCGCGAGGGAGGAGCGCUUUUAUUAGACCAAAACCCUCGGCAGCCGGUUCCCGCAAGGGGCCGGCCGCACACAUCUUGGUGAAUCAGAAUAACUUUUGCCGAGCGCACGACCCCUCCCGUAACCCGGGUUGGGUCGGCGCCGCGUCCUGCAGGCGUCUGCCUUAUCAGCUCUCGAUUGUAGGUUAAACGCCUACAAUGGCUAUCACGGGUAACGGGGAAUCAGGGUUCGAUUCCGGAGAGGGAGCCUGAGAAACGGCUACCACAUCUAAGGAAGGCAGCAGGCGCGCAAAUUACCCACUCCCGGCACGGGGAGGUAGUGACGAAAAAUACUGUUGCGAGCCCCGAACGGGGCCUCGCAAUUGGAAUGAGUACACUUUAAAUCCUUGUACGAGGAUCGAGUGGAGGGCAAGUCUGGUGCCAGCCGCCGCGGUAAUUCCAGCUCCACUAGCGUAUAUUAAAGUUGUUGCGGUUGAAACGCUCGUAGUUUGACUUCUGCUCCGGACCGGCGGUCCGCCUUAGCGGCGGCUACUGCCGGGUUCCGAGCUGUGUCCCCGCCGGCGCACAUGGGGUUUUUAUGCCCUUAACCGGGUGUCCCCUUGUGGCCGGCACGUUUACUUUGAAAAAAUUAGAGUGCUCAGAGCAGGCUGGUUUUUGCUUACAGCCCGAAUGGUCGUGCAUGGAAUGAUGGAACAGGACCUCGGUUCUAUUUUGUCGGUUUUUCGGAACCCGAGGUAAUGAUUAAUAGAAGCAGACGGGGGCAUUCGUACUGCGACGCUAGAGGUGAAAUUCUUAGACCGUCGCAUGACGACCUACUGCGAAAGCAUCUGCCAAGGAUGUUUUCAUUGAUCAAGAACGAAAGUUAGAGGUUCGAAGGCGAUCAGAUACCGCCCUAGUUCUAACCUUAAACGAUGCUGACUAGCGAUCCGCCGCAGUUAUUCCCAUGACCCGGCGGGUAGCUUCCGGGAAACCAAAGUCUUUGAGUUCCGGGGGAAGUAUGGUUGCAAAGCUGAAACUUAAAGGAAUUGACGGAAGGGCACCACCAGGAGUGGAGCCUGCGGCUCAAUUUGACUCAACACGGGGAAACUCACCAGGCCAGGACACCGGAAGGAUUGACAGAAUGAAGGCUCUUUCUCGAUUCGGUGGGUGGUGGUGCAUGGCCGUUCUUAGUUGGUGGAGUGAUCUGUCUGGUUAAUUCCGAUAACGAACGAGACUCUAGCCUGCUAAAUAGUCGACGGAUCUCAACCCCGUUGCCCCCGUUGUCGUUCGCGGCGCGCGGCGCGCGGAAACUGGCGUCCGCUUCGCAGUCUUCUUCUUAGAGGGAUAAGCGGCAGCAAAAAAUAUACUAGCCGCACGAGAGUUUGAGCCAUAACAGGUCUGUGAUGCCCUUAGAUGUUCUGGGCCGCACGCGCGCUACAAUGGAGAGUUCAGCGAGCUGGCCCUGCUCCGAGAGGAGCGGGUAACCUCGUGAAAGCUGUCCUUAAAGGGGAUUGGGGCUUGCAAAUGUUCCCCAUGAACGAGGAAUUCCCAGUAGGCGCAAUUCACCAGAUUGCGCCGAUUUAGUCCCUGCCCUUUGUACACACCGCCCGUCGCUACUACCGAUUGAAUGGUCUAGUGAGGGCACCGGACUGGCGCCCUUGGAGCCGCUACCGCCUCGGCGGGCAGCGCCCUCGGGUCGACGGAAAGGUGUCCAAGCUGGGUCAUUUAGAGGAAGUAAAAGUCGUAACAAGGUUUCCGUAGGUGAACCUGCGGAAG
rnacentral:rRNA from 1 species